CGCUGGCGGCGUGCUUAACACAUGCAAGUCGAGCGGAAAGGCCCUUCGGGGUACUCGAGCGGCGAACGGGUGAGUAACACGUGGGCAACCUGCCCCUAGCUCUGGGAUAACUCCGGGAAACCGGGGCUAAUACCGGAUACGAUCUUCCAUGGCAUCUCGGAAGAUGGAAAGUUUUUCGGCUAGGGAUGGGCCCGCGGCCUAUCAGCUUGUUGGUGAGGUAACGGCCCACCAAGGCGACGACGGGUAGCCGGCCUGAGAGGGCGACCGGCCACACUGGGACUGAGACACGGCCCAGACUCCUACGGGAGGCAGCAGUGGGGAAUAUUGCGCAAUGGGCGAAAGCCUGACGCAGCGACGCCGCGUGAGGGAUGAAGGCCUUCGGGUUGUAAACCUCUUUCAGCAGGGACGAAGCGAGAGUGACGGUACCUGCAGAAGAAGCACCGGCCAACUACGUGCCAGCAGCCGCGGUAAUACGUAGGGUGCAAGCGUUGUCCGGAAUUAUUGGGCGUAAAGAGCUCGUAGGCGGUCUGUCGCGUCGGCUGUGAAAACUCGGGGCUCAACCCCGAGCCUGCAGUCGAUACGGGCAGACUAGAGUGCUGUAGGGGAGACUGGAAUUCCUGGUGUAGCGGUGAAAUGCGCAGAUAUCAGGAGGAACACCGGUGGCGAAGGCGGGUC
rnacentral:rRNA from 1 species